rnacentral:lncRNA from 1 species
GAAAGAGGUGAAUAUAUGAAAAAUCUAGCUAUUCACGCCAAAGAAGUAAGCUAAGUUGGUUGAUGAUUAAUACUUGCCCCUCAAAUUUACCAGUUAAAUCCUAUACCUACUCUCACCUGUUUUAUGCAUGACUCUACAUGUCAAGAAAUUGGAGACAUGGAAUUUUAGUAGAAAACGAUGAGAGUGAAACUUAUCCUAUGUGUGUCAGACUUUUGUCGGGAUUUCAAUAUUUGUAUAUAAAGGAAGACAAAGUUGUAGUUAAUAAAAAACUACAUAUAUGUAAAGACAAUACAUUUCAAUCUUCUGUUCCUCAAUGAUACUAUAAUAAUUCAUCUAUAUACUCGAUCAA